GUGACAGAAGAGAGUGAGCACACAUGGUGUUUUCUUGCAUGGUCGUGCUUGAAGCUCUGUGUGCCCACUCUCUAUCUGUCAC
rnacentral:pre_miRNA from 1 species